GAUGAACGCUGGCGGCGUGCUUAACACAUGCAAGUCGAACGAAGCACUUUAACCUGAUUCUUCGGAUGCAGGUUUUUGUGACUGAGUGGCGGACGGGUGAGUAACGCGUGGGUAACCUGCCUCAUACAGGGGGAUAACAGUUAGAAAUGACUGCUAAUACCGCAUAAGACCACAGAGCCGCAUGGCUCGGUGGGAAAAACUCCGGUGGUAUGAGAUGGACCCGCGUCUGAUUAGGUAGUUGGUGGGGUAACGGCCUACCAAGCCAACGAUCAGUAGCCGACAUGAGAGGGUGACCGGCCACAUUGGGAAUGAGACACGGCCCAAACUCCUACGGGAGGCAGCAGUGGGGAAUAUUGCACAAUGGGGGAAACCCUGAUGCAGCGACGCCGCGUGAGCGAAGAAGUAUUUCGGUAUGUAAAGCUCUAUCAGCAGGGAAGAAAAUGACGGUACCUGACUAAGAAGCACCGGCUAAAUACGUG
rnacentral:rRNA from 1 species